rfam:Tortispora caseinolytica NRRL Y-17796 unplaced genomic scaffold CANCAscaffold_3, whole genome shotgun sequence.
GGUUGCGGCCAUAUCCAGCAGAAAACACCGUUCCCCGUCCGAUCAACUGUAGUUAAGCUGCUGAGAGCCUGCUCAGUACUCUGGUGGGAGACCACAGUGGAAUCGUAGGUGCUGCAAUCU